rnacentral:rRNA from 1 species
GAUGAACGCUAGCGGCAGGCUUAACACAUGCAAGUCGAGGGGUAGAAGUUGCUUGCAACUUUGAGACCGGCGCACGGGUGCGUAACGCGUAUGCAAUCUACCUUAUACAGAGGGAUAGCCCAGAGAAAUUUGGAUUAAUACCUCAUAGUAUAAUUGAAUGGCAUCAUUUAAUUAUUAAAGUUCCAACGGUAUAAGAUGAGCAUGCGUCCUAUUAGCUAGAUGGUAAGGUAACGGCUUACCAUGGCAACGAUAGGUAGGGGUCCGGGGAGGGAGAUCCCCCACACUGGUACUGAGACACGGACCAAACUCCUACGGGAGGCAGCAGUGAGGAAUAUUGGACAAUGGGCGCAAGCCUGAUCCAGCCAUGCCGCGUGCAGGAAGAAGCAUCUAUGGUGUGUAAACUGCUUUUGUACGGGAAGAAACACUCCUUCGUGAAGGAGCUUGACGGUACCGUAAGAAUAAGGAUCGGCUAACUCCGUGCCAGCCGCCGCGGUAAUAC